AUUGAACGCUGGCGGCAGGCUUAACACAUGCAAGUCGAGCGGAGUGAUGGUGCUUGCACUAUCACUUAGCGGCGGACGGGUGAGUAAUGCUUAGGAAUCUGCCAUUUAGUGGGGGACAACAUUCCGAAAGGAAUGCUAAUACCGCAUACGUCCUACGGGAGAAAGCAGGGGAUCUUCGGACCUUGCGCUAAAUGAUGAGCCUAAGUCGGAUUAGCUAGUUGGUGGGGUAAAGGCCUACCAAGGCGACGAUCUGUAGCGGGUCUGAGAGGAUGAUCCGCCCGAAUGGGACGGAGACACGGCCCAGUCUCCAGCGAGCUGCAGCAGUGGGGAAUAUUGGACAAUGGGCGGAAGCCUGAUCCAGCCAUGCCGCGUGUGUGAAGAAGGCCUAUUGGUUGUAAAGCACUUUAAGCGAGGAGGAGGCUACUAGUACUAAUACUACUGGAUAGUGGACGUUACUCGCAGAAUAAGCACCGGCUAACUCUGUGCCAGCCGCCGCAGUAAGAC
rnacentral:rRNA from 1 species